UUACUACUCUCUCCAUCCAAAAAUACUUGUCAUUGAAAUGGAUGUAUCUAGAUGUAUUUUAGUUCUAGACACAUCCAUUUUGAUGACAAGUAAUUCCGGACGAAGGGAGUAUUAU
rnacentral:pre_miRNA from 1 species